UUCUUUAAUGCAUGGCCGACAGACAAGUUGUGUUAUGUCCUUUGUUGAAUGAUGUAAUGAGUCUUGUCAUUGAUGUUUUUGUGGUCAAUUUGUCUGGGAUGGGCGCAGUCCUCCAUGUUUCUGUCUAAUCAUGUGUUCUUCCUCUGUUCACAUGUAGUGUACACAAAGGUGAUGAUGCAUCAUAGACCACUCCCUGGAUAAUAGACACUUGACUGAACAUUUUAGUAACAUUAUUAAAUGCUUGAGAUUUAAGUAUUUUAGGCUAUGCAUAUUUAUAGCCUAGGCUACAGUCGAGUGUUGGUAACUGCAAUUAAUUUGGUCUGAUGUGACAGCAACAUGCAGUCAGUCAUCAGGGGCAAUAAUUGAAUUGGGACUGAAAAGCUGUAUUGCAUUGAAAAGGAUUUUGCAUUUUUCCAAAGUGCACUUAUUAGGACUCGAGUCGACUCUGUAUCAAUACAUUUGAAUCAAAUUGGGAUUACAUGGUACAAGUCACUUUCCUCUCCCAGUAGACUAUUUGCAUAAACUGUUGCCAUAAAUACGAAUCGAUAGGCCUACCCAGGAGUUCAUAAAAGACGGAGAACAAUAAUACCAGAACAAUACUACCAGGCCAGGUUUAUGUGCGUUUGUAAAGUCGGAAAACUGCUCAUAUAGCCUAAAUACAUUUACUGAUAUUUAUUUUACUGUUGUAACCAUUUUCAUAUCGAAAAGGUUUAACGAAGUUUGGUCGUGUAGGGGCUUUGGACUUGCCCGCGGAGUUGAUCUCCUAACAUACAAAAGGCUUUUGUAAUUGUUUUCUUUUUUUCUUGCCUGAGUGACGGUUCCAAAAUCCAACCGAAACGCCUGCAAAAUUUGCUUACUUCCUAUAGCAGACUGGAGAAGGAGGGAUUUUCUUCCUGUAAACUUUGGACUUCUUUACAACGAAGGGGUUGGGGGUUGCGCUUGUCCGGUCUGAUGCAUACACUGCUACCGCGACUUUGCGGUUCGGGGCCGUUCUUUUAUGCAUUCCCUUCAUAGCGCAGUCAAGUGGAAAAAAGAUUCAUCAACUUUUUCAGCAGAUUAAAUAUGAAAUGGGAACAGAAGCAUACGCUUUAUUAUGUGGAAAAGGACAAACAGCCUGCUAUUCGAAGGAAACUCCUGAAGUAACAUGGAUUAGUAUUCAUAUAAGCAUUUUUAGAAUUGUUUGAGGAAUUUUGCACGGUAUCCGCUCUGUAUCAAAUCUAUGGAAAUAGCGGAGCAGGGACGCCGACAACGGAGCAGCAGUAGUUUCUUCGUGAAGUUUAAUUGAAAGGAGAACGCUUUCUAGCUAGAAGAUAAAAAACAUUACUUCAUGAAAUGGACUAAACAGGGCAAAUGAUGUCACUCUUUCCCGACUGGUGUUGAGUUAAGAAAUUGUAACACUAUCUGAUUUAAAUACGUUAGAAAUUCAGCGAGCUGUUUUUUGCUCCAUGUAAGAUUGCUUGCUAGCUAGCCAAGUCAUUUGUUGUUCAUCCUUACCUACAUUUUAUGAAUAUGUUGUCAAUACAUGCAUUCCGUAUCUGAUUAUUGUCAGUUCAAUCCCUCUCUGUAUUGUGUUGCACCAUUGGGUUGAGGGGCUGGGCAAUGUACCAGUUGAAUAAAAGGCAAAGUUAUUCUACUCAUACUGUAAAGACUAUUAUCAGUAAAAAUGAUUAACCUGACAAUAAUAACGUGAGGGUUUAAUUGUGUAACAAUGCACAAGCCAUUAUGAUGGUUGAAGGUAAUCUGAUAAUUGCUAUGAAGAAAAUGUUUUUUAGGAUGAAAUUACCCAUUAAAAGUAAACCUAUUACAACUUGAUCAAGCUUAUGAAUAUGUAAAACUGCAUAAUGAUGUCACAUUGAAGUGCAUAAACUAUACAUGCACUGAUUCACACACAUUGACACAGGGAAGGAGUUAACAAGUCAUCAGGAACAGAAACCGUGUGCUAUUGGCUUUGGUUCCAGCAUAUGGUCCUCUUGCCUCCAUUUAUUGAGUGACUCCUGUUUAUAAGCUUGACCAAAUAACUUAAUAACAUGCUAUUUCAAAUGUUUUGUUCUGUGUAACAAGUGGUGUGUGUGCUGCCCAACUCAAUAUUGUUAUUAUAUUCCUACUAUUCCCACAGAGCUGUCCAUUCUGAGUCAAGCUAGAACCAUGACCCCUCUUGGCCUGUUCUACCACUGACCAGCUGCAUUUGGACCCUACUGCAACUCCCCACUAGUCAAGCUCCCAUAUUUUUCAGGCCCUUCCUGAGUUGUUUGAUCUGACUGCUGACUCGGCCAAGGACCUAUAGCAGCGUUUCCCAAACUCUGUCCUGGGGACACCAAGGGGUGGAUUUUUUUAUUUUAUUUUUUGCCCUAGCACCACUACACCGCUGAUUCAAAUAAUCAACUCAUAAUCAAGCUUUGAUUUAUUUAACUCAGCUGUGUAAUGAAGUAAAAAACAAUGUGCACACCUUGUGGUCCCCAGUUUCGAGUUUUGGAAAUGCUGACCUAAAGAAUAUGGUAAAAUGUCAGUGUGGUUCAGCAUAUAAAUUUAAGAGAUGUUUUGCUCAUUUUGUAAAGGGUGGGCACAGUCAGACAUGAUGGAUUCUCCACUGUCAAGACCAACCGGUACAAACACUCAUUUACCCCUAAUGGCCAUUGCCCUUUGAAUACAGGGAAGAGGAGGUAGGCUAGUCAGUCUGAUGGAGACUGGUUUGGGAGGCUUACUUUUUUUUAUUUUCCUGUUUAUACUGAAUUUGUUAUCACUUAGUGGCAGCCUACAGGUACAUAUUUUAUAAACGUAUCAUUUGAAAUUUAUAAACGUAUCAUUUGAAAUGGAUGAUGUACCUGUAAUGUACCUGUUGCAUGCCCCAAUAGUUGAAUUUAACAUUCAUAUGAAAGUCAAUUGUUGAAAAUGUUAACAUAAUUUGUUGAAUAAAUAAAUGUUAUACUCAUA